rnacentral:rRNA from 1 species
AUCGAACGCUGGCGGCAGGCCUAACACAUGCAAGUCGAACGAGUGGCGGACGGGUGAGUAAUGUCUGGGAAACUGCCUGAAGGAGGGGGAUAACUUCUGGAAACGGUAGCCAAUACCGCAUACCAGCAGAUGGGCCCAGAUGGGAUGAGCGUGUUGGUGGGGUAACGGCUAACCAAGGCGACGAUCCCUAGCUGGUCUGAGAGGAUGACCAGCCAGAAUGGAACUGAGAAAGGGUACCACGUCCUACGGACGGCAGCAGUGGGGAAUAGUGCAAAAUGGGCGCAAGCCUGAUGCAGCCACGCCGCGUGUAUGAAGAAGCCCUUAGGGUUGUAAAGUACGUUCAGCGGGGAGGCGUUACCCGCAGAGGAAGCACCGGCUAAGUCAGUGCCAGCAGCCGCGGUAAUUC